AGAGUUUGAUCAUGGCUCAGAGUGAACGCUGCGGCGUGCUUAACACAUGCAAGUCGAACGGUAGCAGGUAGAGCUUGCCCUAUGCUGACGAGUGGCGCACGGGUGAGUAAUGUAUAGUUAAUGUGCCCCAAAGACCGGGAUAGCCACUGGAAACGGUGAUUAAUACUGGAUAUACCUUUUAAGCUCAAGCUUAAAAGGGAAAUGUUUUUUCGCUUUGGGAUCAGACUAUAUCCCAUCAGGUAGUUGGUAGGGUAAGAGCCUACCAAGCCAAUGACGGGUAGCUGAUUUGAGAGGAUGAUCAGCCACACUGGUACUGAGACACGGACCAGACUCCUACGGGAGGCAGCAGUGAGGAAUAUUGCACAAUGGGGGGAACCCUGAUGCAGCAACGCCGCGUGGAGGAUGACGCAUUUCGGUGUGUAAACUCCUUUUAUAUGAGAAGAAAAUGACGGUAUCAUAUGAAUAAGCACCGGCUAACUCCGUGCCAGCAGCCGCGGUAAUACGGAGGGUGCAAGCGUUACUCGGAAUCACUGGGCGUAAAGGACGCGUAGGCGGGUUGUCAAGUCAGGUGUGAAAUCCUACAGCUUAACUGUAGAACUGCACUUGAAACUGGCAGCCUAGAGUAUGGAAGGGGGAGAUGGAAUUAGUGGUGUAGGGGUAAAAUCCGUAGAUAUCACUAGGAACACCCAAAGCGAAGGCGAUCUCCUGGGACAUAACUGACGCUAAGGCGUGAAAGCGUGGGGACAANNNNNAUUAGAUACCCUAGUAGUCC
rnacentral:rRNA from 1 species